rnacentral:snoRNA from 1 species
AUGCAUCUAUUUUACAUACCUGGAACAGUUACUGUCUGCUACUAAGGUUUCUACUACAGAUGCAAGAAAAACGUGUUCUACAGCUUUCUGUCUGAUUGGUGGCAGCCAAGAGUGAAUAGAGGGGUAAAAGG